AUGGAUUAAGAGCUUGCUCUUAUGAAGUUAGCGGCGGACGGGUGAGUAACACGUGGGUAACCUGCCCAUAAGACUGGGAUAACUCCGGGAAACCGGGGCUAAUACCGGAUAACAUUUUGAACCGCAUGGUUCGAAAUUGAAAGGCGGCUUCGGCUGUCACUUAUGGAUGGACCCGCGUCGCAUUAGCUAGUUGGUGAGGUAACGGCUCACCAAGGCAACGAUGCGUAGCCGACCUGAGAGGGUGAUCGGCCACACUGGGACUGAGACACGGCCCAGACUCCUACGGGAGGCAGCAGUAGGGAAUCUUCCGCAAUGGACGAAAGUCUGACGGAGCAACGCCGCGUGAGUGAUGAAGGCUUUCGG
rnacentral:rRNA from 1 species